rnacentral:rRNA from 1 species
UACAGAGGUGGCAAGCGUUGUUCGGAAUUACUGGGCGUAAAGGGCGCGUAGGCGGCCUUGUAAGUCCUGUGUGAAAUCCCCCGGCUCAACUGGGGAACUGCACAGGAGACUGCUUGGCUUGAGUUCGGGAGAGGGAAGCGGAAUUCCGGGUGUAGCGGUGAAAUGCGUAGAUAUGCGGAGGAACACCGAUGGCGAAGGCAAUCCCCUGGGCCUGCACUGACGCUCAUGCACGAAAGCGUGGGGAGCAAACAGG